GUAGCAUAAUCAUUAGUCAUUUAAUUGAUGACUUGUAUGAAAGAUUGGAUGAAAUAUAAACUGUCUCUUAAUUAUUUAUAUAAAAUUUAAUUUUUUAAUUAAAAAGUUAAAAUAAUUUAAAAAGACGAGAAGACCCUAUAGAGUUUUAUAUUUAAAUUAAUUAAGAUUAUUUUAAUUUUAAAAUUAAAAUUAAUUUAUAUAUUAUAUUGGGGUGAUAGAAAAAUAUAUAUAACUUUUUUUUUUAUGUAAAACAUUUAUAAGUGAUUAAAUGAUCCAAUAAUAUUGAUUAUAAGAAAAAGUUACCUUAGGGAUAACAGCGUAAUUUUUUUUUUUAGUUCAUAUAAAAAAAAGAGUUUGCGACCUCGAUGUUGGAUUAAGAUAAAAUUUAAAUGUAGAAG
rnacentral:rRNA from 1 species